CAGCCGCCGCGGUAAUACGAAGGGGGCUAGCGUUGCUCGGAAUUACUGGGCGUAAAGGGCGCGUAGGCGGAUCGUUAAGUUGGGGGUGAAAGCCCGGGGCUCAACCUCGGAACUGCCUUCAAUACUGGCGAUCUUGAGUAUGAGAGAGGUGUGUGGAACUCCGAGUGUAGAGGUGAAAUUCGUAGAUAUUCGGAAGAACACCAGUGGCGAAGGCGACACACUGGCUCAUUACUGACGCUGAGGCUCGAAAGCGUGGGGAGCAAACAGGAUUAGAUACCCCUGUAGUCCCUGUCUCUUAUAC
rnacentral:rRNA from 1 species